AAACCCCACCGGGAGCAAGACCGAAUAGGAGCGGCGGCAUCUUCGGGUGCGACCCUGUUUCCGGGUAGACCGCUCGGGUAGGUUGCGCGAGGCGUGCGGCAACGCACGUCCCAGAUGAAUGGUCACCCCUCGAUCCCGAUCGAGGACAGAACCCGGCUUAUAGGCCGCCCGCACCC
rnacentral:RNase_P_RNA from 1 species